UGGCUCAGUGGUAGAGCACUUGCCUUACAUGCAUGAGGCCCUGGGUUUGAUUCCUCAG
rnacentral:tRNA from 1 species